rnacentral:snoRNA from 1 species
GCACACUCUCCAACCCCGGGCGGCAGUCCUUCCUGUGGAUUAGUGCGUCCCAAAGACGUGUGCCACAGCUGCUGGGUUCCCGCAGGAGGCUUAGUGUUUCAGCAUGGCUUUGUACUGCCUGGCUGGGUCAACAGCCUUCGACAUCU